AACCAUAGAAACCUGCGGAGUACCUGCGGAGGGAUCAUUACAGAGUUGCAAGACUCCCUAAACCAUUGUGAACGUUACCUAAACCGUUGCUUCGGCGGGCGGCCCGGGUCCUUCCCGGCGCCCCUCGGCCCUCGCGGGCGCCCGCCGGAGGUAAACCAAACUAUUGCAUUGUAUGGCCUCUCUGAGUCUCCUGUACUGAAUAAGUCAAAACUUUCAGCAAUGGAUCUCAGAUCGGAAGAG
rnacentral:misc_RNA from 1 species